rnacentral:rRNA from 1 species
UACGUAGGGUCCAAGCGUUGUCCGGAUUUAUUGGGCGUAAAGGGUGCGUAGGCGGCGCGGUAAGUCGGGUGUGAAAUCUCGGAGCUUAACUCCGAAACUGCAUUCGAUACUGCCGGGCUUGAGUAUGGGAGAGGUGAGUGGAAUUUCCGGUGUAGCGGUGAAAUGCGUAGAUAUCGGAAGGAACACCUGUGGCGAAAGCGGCUCACUGGACCAUAACUGACGCUGAGGCGCGAAAGCUAGGGGAGCAAACAGG